CAGGAUGAACGCUGGCGGCGUGCCUAACACAUGCGAAGUCGAACGGAGAACCCGGCCCUCGGGCGGUUAUGAAGUGGCGAACGGGUGAGUAACACGUGACCAACCUGCCCCGCGCUCAGGGACAGCCUCGGGAAACCGGGAUUAAUACCUGAUGGCGCCCCGCCCCCGCGAUGGGGGAGGGGGGAAAAGCCGAAGCGGGCGCGGGAUGGGGUCGCGGCCCAUCAGGUAGACGGCCGGGUAGAGGCCGGCCGUGCCGACGACGGGUAGCCGGGUUGAGAGACCGACCGGCCACAUUGGGACUGAGAUACGGCCCAGACUCCUACGGGAGGCAGCAGUGGGGAAUAUUGCGCAAUGGGGGCAAAACCCCCUGACGCAGCAACGCCGCGUGCGGGACGACGGCCCUCGGGUUGUAAACCGCUUUCAGCAGGGAAGACAUCGACGGUACCUGCAGAAGAAGCCCCGGCUAACUACGUGCCAGCCGCCGC
rnacentral:rRNA from 1 species